rnacentral:lncRNA from 1 species
UGACUAGUUCAUUUGGACAGUUUAUCAUAAACUAUCAUAUGAACAAAUUGGAGUGCAACUUACUCAAGUUGGUCAAUAUUCUAGUCACUGCUGAGAGAACAUUGAAGGGUUCAAGGCAUUCUAUCCUGGAGAGCCUAAAAGAAAAAGGUGAAAUGCCUUGUGAAGGCAUGCUCGUAAUAAAAUCUAACCUAAUAAUUUUUUCUACUUUUAAUUGGAUAUUGGACUCUGAUUCGAGUGCACACAUAUGUACUUCAAUGCAGGGUCAAAUAGGAAGUAGAAGGUUAAGACA